rnacentral:misc_RNA from 1 species
AGUCAUCAACUCCGCCUGUUUUCGAAACGGGGCGUGUGUUGGAAGUGGGGGUCUGCUGCUGCCAAGUGUGGCUGCUCCCCUCAAAUGCAUCGGUGUUGGGCCUGUGGGUCAAACUCGACUGGGCGUUGUACAAUCCUCGCUCCGACCGAGAUGUUCCCCUUUUGUGUGCCCCACCUGGACCCGCCUUUAUUGGAGUGGUGGGUCAAGCUUUUUUGAA